AUUGAACGCUGGCGGCAGGCUUAACACAUGCAAGUCGAGCGAGAGGCGGACGGGUGAGUAAUGUCUGGGAAACUGCCUGAGGGAGGGGGAUAACUACUGGAAACGGUAGCUAAUACCGCAUACCCUCAGAUGUGCCCAGAUGGGAGUAGCUAGUAGGUGGGGUAAUGGCUAACCUAGGCGACGAUCCCUCGCUGGUCUGAGAGGAGGACCAGCCACACUGGAACUGAGACACGGUCCAGACUCCUACGGGAGGCAGCAGUGGGGAAUAUUGCACAAUGGGCGCAAGCCUGAUGCAGCCAUGCCGCGUGUAUGAAGAAGGCCUUAGGGUUGUAAAGUACUUUCAGCGGGGAGGCGUUACCCGCAGAAGAAGCACCGGCUAACUCCGUGCCAGCAGCCGCGGUAAUAC
rnacentral:rRNA from 1 species